AUUGAACGCUGGCGGCAGGCUUAACACAUGCAAGUCGAACGAGUGGCGGACGGGUGAGUAAUGCUUGGGAAUCUGGCUUAUGGAGGGGGAUAACGACGGGAAACUGUCGCUAAUACCGCGUACCAUAGGAUGAGCCCAAGUGGGCUUCGGUAGUUGGUGGGGUAAUGGCCCACCCAGCCGACGAUUCCUAGCUGGUCUGUGAGGAUGACCAGCCACACCGGAACGUGUACACGGCCCUGACCCCUACGGGAGGCAGCAGAGGGGAAUAUUGCGCAAUGGGGGCAACCUGACGCAGCCAUGCCGCGUGAAUGAAGAAGGCCUUCGGGUUGUAAGGUGCUUUCGGUGACGAGGCGUUAAUCGCAGAAGAAGCACCGGCUAACUCCGUGCCAGCCGCCGCGGUAAUAC
rnacentral:rRNA from 1 species